CUAUUAUGGAGAGUUUGAUCCUGGCUCAGGACGAACGCUGGCGGCAUGCCUAAU
rnacentral:rRNA from 1 species